rnacentral:rRNA from 1 species
UACGUAGAAGACAAGUGUUAUUCAUAUUUAAUCGGUUUAAAGGGUACCUAGACAGAAAAUCAAGCCUGCAAAGGUACUAAUUUUCUAGAGUUUUAUGUGUGAAUAGCGAAUUAUCAGAGCAGGGUCGGAAUCCUCUAAUCCUGGUAGGACGGGUAACGGCAAAUGUUCUAUUCUAUGUAAUAACUGACGUUGAGGGACGAAGCCUUGGGUAGCGAGUUAGG